CACGGUUGGAACUACCCAUUUUAUCUAUUUUUAGCACAGAAAAUGAUUUUAAAAACAUUGUUUUUAGGAACUUGAAAUGUUGGGGAAGAAAAUUUGGAUUUAAAGGACUGACUUCUGGAUAAUUAUGGUGCUAUCUUGCUGCCAACGAUUCCAUGGCAAACCCUCCAGAUAAGUCCCUUCCUCUAGUUAUCAAAUUUGCCUAUUCAGUACAUCUGGCCCACAAGCCAAUUUGAUAUCAUGAUGUCUUCAAGAAAGUCUCUUUAAAAACUCUCUAAUAAUGCAAGUAUUUAAUUCCUCAAUAAUUUUAUUUCAUUAGUUUUUUCUCUUUAUUAAGAGCUAGACAUAUCAUAGAUAUAUCACUUGCUUCUGGCUUCUGAAUGUAUUUUGUUUAUCUUGGCUGUUUUUAUGUUAAAGGAAGAUAUUCAUUAACAUGGCCAAAUUAUGUUGAUCUAAAAUACCAAAAAGAUUUUGAAUAACUCUGCUAUGUACAGCUCUAAAUAUUUAAAAUGGAAAAGUUAGCUUUAUUGUGUGAGACACUUUCAGGAGCUGAGACCAUCUGGUGACCACUCCAGGUCUCUUUUAGCUUUGUGAUUUCUUGACACCGUGAUUUUUGAGUUGUAUUAGGCCUAUUAAAGUUGUCAGGCACAACAUAUAAAUAUAGAUCUAGCUAACAGCAGUCAUUUGCAUCUCCUUGGCCAAUUUUCUGUUGAAUACUGCCACCUUUAAUGGAAUGGCUUAAAAAUUAAAUGUACAUAUAAUAAUUAUAUUGGAUUAUAUUAAAUAGUUAAUCAAGUGUGUCUUUAUAAAGCAAUUUUAAUUUCAUAACUCAUUAUCUUUUAACUUUAUACUAUGAAAAAUUUCAAACAUAUAUAGAAAUAGAAGGAAUCGUAUAAUAGUAUAUAGGCACCUUGGGUAGGUACCUAGUUGUCAAAUUACUCCACAAUUCCAUCACCCAUCCUCCGGCUUCAAUCAUUAAGAAUCUAUUGCUAUCUCGUUUUAUCUAUGCCUCCCUACCUCUGAC
rnacentral:lncRNA from 10 species